UUACUAUUAUAUUUUAUAUGUUUUUAUUUCGAUUCCGAAGUUUUAUUAUAUAAAUAGUUACUUAUUUCUCGUAUUUUAAAUAAACAGAUAAAAAGUGUACGAGUUGAAGAAAGGAGCGAAAACAAACUAAAAAGGAGCAAAAAUAGACAAAAAGUGCCACACACGUGCAGCACAAGGCCACACGCAUGCAGCCCAACACUUCAUUCCUCCACAAAGCCAUGGCGUCCAUCAUAAGGGACAUGGCGUGCGUCACCAAGGCUAAAUGCCUUUCUACCAACUUGCUGAGAAAGAAAGAAUGUCCAUCCAUUUAUGAUCACACCAUAUGCUGCUCACCAAACAAAUGCAUGUGGCGUUUUCAGCAUGCAUAAAUUUCAAAUCUCGCCACAUUUGUUUAGUCCCACAUCGGCCAAAACAAAUUCUGCACCACUUGUAUUACCCUAUAAAUAUGUGUCCUUUCUUACACUUUAAACACAAAACCAACUGGUAACAGUUGAGGAAGAGAAUUGAGACUAAGAUUUAAUUCUUGAUUUCUUCUCUUAGUUUAAUAUUUUUAUUUCCUACCGUUAUGCUGUCGAAAUCUGUACUCGAGAUUACUUUUUAAUUCAGAUAAAAAGUGUACGAGUUGAAGAAAGGAGCAAAAACGAACUAAAAAGGAGCAAAAAUAGACAAAAAGUGCCACACACGUGCAGCACAAGGCCACACGCAUGCAGCCCAACACUUCAUUCCUCCACAAAGCCAUGGCGUCCAUCAUAAGGGACAUGGCGUGCGUCACCAAGGCUAAAUGCCUUUCUACCAACUUGCUGAGAAAGAAAGAAUGUCCAUCCAUUUAUGAUCACACCAUAUGCUGCUCACCAAACAAAUGCAUGUGGCGUUUUCAGCAUGCAUAAAUUUCAAAUCUCGCCACAUUUGUUUAGUCCCACAUCGGCCAAAACAAAUUCUGCACCACUUGUAUUACCCUCUAAAUAUGUGUCCUUUCUUACACUUUAAACACAAAACCAACUGGUAACAGUUGAGGAAGAGAAUUGAGACUAAGAUUUAAUUCUUGAUUUCUUCUCUUAGUUUAAUAUUUUUAUUUCCUACCGUUAUGCUGUCGGAAUCUGUACUCGAGAUUACUUUUUAAUUCAGGUUCUUAUUUUA